GAUGAACGCUAGCGGGAGGCCUAACACAUGCAAGCCGAGCGGUAUAGAAUCUUCGGAUUUUAGAGAGCGGCGUACGGUGCGGAACACGUGUGCAACCUACCUUUAUCUGGAGGAUAGCCUUUCGAAAGGAAGAUUAAUACUCCAUAAUAUAUUGAUUGGCAUCAAUUAAUAUUGAAAGCUCCGGCGGAUAGAGAUGGGCACGCGCAAGAUUAGUUAGUUGGUGAGGUAACGGCUCACCAAGACGAUGAUCUUUAGGGGGCCUGAGAGGGUGAUCCCCCACACUGGUACUGAGACACGGACCAGACUCCUACGGGAGGCAGCAGUGAGGAAUAUUGGACAAUGGGUGCAAGCCUGAUCCAGCCAUCCCGCGUGAAGGACGACUGCCCUAUGGGUUGUAAACUUCUUUUGUAUAGGGAUAAACCUCUCCUCGUGAGGAGAGCUGAAGGUACUAUACGAAUAAGCACCGGCUAACUCCGUGCCAGCAGCCG
rnacentral:rRNA from 1 species